AUAGAUAUUCAAUGAAGGAAGGCUUGGAUAUUGAAAGCGCAAGCGCCAGAGGGUGAGUCUGCGGCCUAUCAGGUAGUAGGUGGUGUAACGGACCACCUAGCCUAAGACGGGUACGGGCCUUGAGAGAGGGAGCCCGGAGAUGGGUUCUGAGACACGAACCCAGGCCCUACGGGGCGCAGCAGGCGCGAAACCUUCGCACUGCGCGAAAGCGCGACGAGGGGAACCCGAGUGCCUCUCCAUUUCGGGGAGGCUUUUCACAAGCCUAAAAAGCUUGUGGAAUAAGGGCUGGGCAAGACGGGUGCCAGCCGCCGCGGUAAUACCCGCAGCUCGAGUGGUGGUCGCUUUUAUUGAGCCUAAAACGUUCGUAGUCGGCCUUGUAAAUCCCUGGGUAAAUUGGGCCGCUUAACGGUUCAAAUUCCGGGGAGACUGCAAGGCUAGGGACCGGGCGAGGUCAGAGGUACUUUCGGGGUAGGGGUGAAAUCCUGUAAUCCCGAAGGGACCACCUGUGGCGAAAGCGUCUGACUUGAACGGCUCCGACGAUGAGGAACGAAGGCUAAGGGAGCAAACCGGAUUAGAUACCCGGGUAGUCCUAGCUGUAAACUCUGCCCGCUUGGUGUGGCCUGUCCUUCGGGGGCAGGCCGUGCCGGAGCGAAGGUGUUAAGCGGGCUGCUUGGGGAGUACGGCCGCAAGGUUGGAACUUAAAGGAAUUGGCGGGGGAGCACCGCAACGGGAGGAUGCGUGCGGUUUAAUUGGAUUCAACGCCGGAAAACUCACCUGAGGAGACCAGCGUAUGUGGGUCAAGCCGAAGACUUUACCCGAACAACAGCUGGAGAGGUGGUGCAUGGCCAUCGUCAGCUCGUACCGUAGGGCAUUCACUUAAGUGUGAUAACGAGCGAGACCCCCAUCCCUAGUUGCUAACCCCUCCGAAAGGAGGGGUGCACUCUAGGGAGACCGCUUCCGCUAAGGAAGAGGAAGGAGGGGUCGACGGUAGGUCAGUAUGCCCCGAAUCCUCAGGGCAACACGCGCGCUACAAAGGAC
rnacentral:rRNA from 1 species